AUUGAACGCUGGCGGCAGGCCUAACACAUGCAAGUCGAGCGAGCGGCGGACGGGUGAGUAAUGUAUGGGGAUCUGCCUGAUGGAGGGGGAUAACUACUGGAAACGGUAGCUAAUACCGCAUACCAUCAGAUGAACCCAUAUGGGAUUAGCUUGUAGGUGGGGUAAAGGCUUACCUAGGCGACGAUCCCUAGCUGGUCUGAGAGGAUGAACAGCCACACUGGAACUGAGACACGGCCCAGACUCCUACGGGAGGCAGCAGUGGGGAAUAUUGCACAAUGGGCGCAAGCCUGAUGCAGCCAUGCCGCGUGUAUGAAGAAGGCCUUCGGGUUGUAAAGUACUUUCAGUCGGGAGGCGUUACCGACAGAAGAAGCACCGGCUAACUCCGUGCCAGCAGCCGCGGUAAUUC
rnacentral:rRNA from 1 species